rnacentral:ncRNA from 1 species
CUUAGGGGGUGCUGUGCUAUGUGGCAUGGCUGAGAUCAAACCCAUCGAACCUGAAACGGGUAAUGCCGGCGCAGGGAAGGUAG